CCGUGCGCCGUCGCCCCGUCGCCGCCCUGCGCAGCCCCGUGACCGCCCCGCCCUCGGCCGCCACCGCUUUGCUCGCGUUGCGCCCUCGUCCUCGUCGCCCGCCUCCGCCGCUGCGCCGCUCCCCUCCGCCUCUCCUUCUCUGCGCCGGCCUUUGCUGGCCACUUCACCGCCGGCAUCUCCUCGGUCGUGGCCUCGUCGCCCCUUUGCUGGCCGUGCUCUGGCCCGCCGUGGCAACCUGCGUCAGCCGCCGGUGGUGAGAUGCCCCCCCCUCCUCCAGAAGCUCCUUGGGGAAGAAGAUGAGUGAGAUGGGGAAUUUUUUGACCCACUCACAAGGAGGGGUCCCACUGAUAGCGGCGUCCUCCCUCCGACGACCUCGCGCGCCCUUCCCUCCCCGGCGGCCUGCUCCGGUGCUCCGUCAGUCCGAUUCGCCAUGGCGGCAAAUCGUCCCUACCUGUGUCCAGCGCCUGCGCUAAGCACAAGCACAAGCACAGCCACGGCCGCAGCCGAGCCCCUGGCUUACCUGCCGACGAGGGAAUUCAUUCACCGGAUCUGCUGUCAGUGCUGUGUGUUAAUCGCAUGGAUGGGCUGAGCUGUUGCUGCUGCUAGCGUCGUCUCGAUUCCUUUGAUUUGGCAGAGAACGAGGCCGCCGCAGAGCCAGCGCCGGGGAGCCAUUUUCAGACCUCCGCGUUCCAGCAAGCAGCCCGACCACCCCACUAGCCUCCUCCUUCUUUUUGGGUAUCAAUUUCACAGUUUUUGUUUCUUUUAUCAGAUUCAGUUUUUCACAUGUCAUUUUUCCUGUCAAGCGGUGUGCUACUUAGCUUCAGAUAUGGGUCUCCGUAUGAUCGAAUUAAAGCGGGCAUGCGCAUAGGAUCAAAUCUGUCCCAAAUAAAACUAAUUUUGUGUUAUGUGAUAUAUAUAAUUGCUCAUGUA